rnacentral:RNase_P_RNA from 1 species
UUCGGGCAGCCGCUGGUCUGAUGAGGAUCAGAGGAAAGUCCAUGCUCGCACCGUCUGUGAUGGCGGUAGUGUUUGUGCAGGUCCAAUCAAUAAGGCCUGGCAGUUCUUCGGAACUGACGGCAGGCGGACACCUAAAAGGGAAACCUCAUGGUCGAUGCCUCGAACGUGUCACAGUGACGUAGUCCUUCUGGAAACAGUGGGAGUGGAACGCGAUAAACCCCGCAAGCGAGAAAUCCAAAUUUGGUAGGAGAAUUCCGGGAUGCGAAGCGAAGCGGACCGGAGGGGCUGAAAGGCUCAGAUAAAUGGCUGCCACCGGGAAUCCGGGACAGAACAUGGCUUACAG